rnacentral:rRNA from 1 species
UACGGGGGGUGCAAGCGUUGUUCGGAAUUAUUGGGCGUAAAGCGCGUGUAGGCGGUUUGUUAAGUCUGAUGUGAAAGCCCUGGGCUCAACCCAGGAAGUGCAUUGGAAACUGGCGGACUUGAAUACGGGAGAGGGUAGUGGAAUUCCUAGUGUAGGAGUGAAAUCCGUAGAUAUUAGGAGGAACACCGGUGGCGAAAGGCGGCUACCUGGACCGAUAUUGACGCUGAGACGCGAAAGCGUGGGUAGCAAACAGG